rnacentral:rRNA from 1 species
UACGUAGGGUGCGAGCGUUAAUCGGAAUUACUGGGCGUAAAGCGUGCGCAGGCGGUUUUGUAAGACAGAUGUGAAAUCCCCGGGCUUAACCUGGGAAUGGCAUUUGGGACUGCAAGGCUGGAGUGCGGCAGAGGAGACUGGAAUUCCUGGUGUAGCAGUGAAAUGCGUAGAUAUCAGGAGGAACACCGAUGGCGAAGGCAGGUCUCUGGGCUGACACUGACGCUCAUGCACGAAAGCGUGGGGAGCGAACGGG